CGUAGGGUGCGAGCGUUAAUCGGAAUUACUGGGCGUAAAGCGUGCGCAGGCGGUUUGUAAGACAGGCGUGAAAUCCCCGGGCUCAACCUGGGAACUGCGCUUGUGACUGCAAGGCUAGAGUACGGCAGAGGGGGGUGGAAUUCCACGUGUAGCAGUGAAAUGCGUAGAGAUGUGGAGGAACACCAAUGGCGAAGGCAGCCCCCUGGGUCGAUACUGACGCUCAUGCACGAAAGCGUGGGUAGCAAACAGGAUUAGAUACCCUGGUAGUCCACGCCCUAAACGAUGUCAACUAGGUGUUGGGUGGGUAAAACCAUUUAGUACCGGAGCUAACGCGUGAAGUUGACCGCCUGGGGAGUACGGCCGCAAGGUUA
rnacentral:rRNA from 1 species